rnacentral:lncRNA from 1 species
AUGAAGCAGCACACGAGUAAUAACGUGGAAUUAUCCGGAAGCCUACCUGGUGGUGCCGCUGCUGGCAGUGAUGAUGAUGGACUUGUGGAUUGGAGUAAGUUUGUGUUUGAUUGCCUGUCUUUCAGAAGCAAGUGGCCCACAUUGAUGCUGGUUGAUUGGUUGACUGGAUUUAGAACUGGCUGUGGGUGGUUGCUUGUUACUACCAUGCUACAGGUCAGUUCUUUCUUAAGUCUGAGGCAACUUUAAACUGCAGUUUUCUAUUUAAAAGUUGCCUUCCAUCAACUAUGAUCGAAAUGAAAAUGAUUUCAUAUUCCAGAACUAUGUAAUUAAUUUGGAUGUAUGGGUCAAGAGGAAUUGUUUAAUAAUUGGUCUCAGCAAGAUCUCUCUCUCUUUUUUUUUUUUUUUUUUUGAUGUUUAGUCUUAACCAGAGAGUUCUCUACAUAGUUAAAAGCAAACAGCAAUUAUUAUCUUGUUUCAGUUUUUGGUAUUUUCAGAGGCUUCUGCUAAACUCCUAACAUAAUCUCCAGUGGUAAAUGUUUGUCUCUUUGUUAAUGUGUGUAGCUGUAUGAUAGUGACACUUUUUUUAUUCCUUCAUCUAUUUUGUUGUUGUUGUUCACUUUCUGUUCCAUGCAGCGGUAGUGAUGCCAUGUGUUUACUUCGUUAAAAAGUCAUUACAAUUUUCUGCUGGCAAAUUCAGCUUUCUGUGUUAAGACUAAAAACUAGACUAAACAUAUGGAAAAUUUACCAAAUUAUUUUCAAACAAACUUCUGUAACUAAUAAAAAUAUUGCUAUUUUUGAACUGUUAUACACUGACAUUUAAGAAUUUUUUUUUUAAUUGGAUUUUAGGUUUUGGGGUACUGACAUUUAAGAAUUUUAUCAGUAAGAUUUUUUUCUUCCCAAGACAUUUUCCUGAUUUCUUUAAUGUAAUAUGUACCUGUUAUUUUUAAAACCUUGUUUAAACUGUUUAAAUAUUAUUCUAUUUAAAAACAAAACCCAAAACAUAGAACAGAUCUAAUUACGAGUUUCAUGUCUAAGAGUCAUUGUCUGUAUGCUCCAGCUGUCUGAUGUAGCAUUCAUCUUCCAGUCUUAGUUUCCUUGUGUUUUUACACUCUUCUUUGCAAGUUCCUAGGAAACACCUAGACUCCAUGGGACUAAUCUUUGUGCUGUCAUUCUGUUCUCCGAGUGGAGUCGUUUUCUCUAUUUUUCCCUGGUGAGCUCCUAUUUUGCCUCUUCUGUAAAGCCUUUCUUGUGCUAAAAUAUAACUUUUCAUAUAUCAACUCGUAAAUGACACAUUGUAUCGUAAUUGUAUAUUACUUGUUUUCUGAGGCAGGAAAUAUAUAUUUCUAUUUAUGUUGGUAAUUUAUAACUGUGUUUUUUAAAUUAAUGACUUGAGAUAGGGAAGAGUUGAAAUUUUGCAAAAUUGUUUUUUAUGUGUUAUCAGUAGAAUUAUUAUAAAACAUUGGCUUUUUAUAGAUUUUUUUUUUUUUUUUUUUUUGAGACAGAGUCUUGCUCUUUUGCCAGGCUGGAAUGCAGUGGCCCAAUCUUGGCUCACUGCAGCCUCUGUCUCCUGGAUUCAAGUGGUUCCCCUACCUCAGCCUUCUGAGUAGCUGGGACCACAGGUGCAUGGCCACCAUGCCUGGCUAAUGAUUUUGUAUUUUAGUUGAGACGGGGUUUCACCAUGGCUAGGAUGGUCUCAAUCUCCUGACCUUAUAAAUCUACUUGCCUCUACCUCCCAAAGUGCUGGGAUUAUAGGCGUGAGCCACUGCACCUGGCCAGAUUUUUUUAAAAGUUGUGGUUCUGCCUUACAUAUGAAGGAAGUAAAGAAAAAUGAAAAUAAAAAAUGGACCUCAAAAUAAUGUGAUUACACCAAUGUUUGAGAAGGCUAAUUUAGUAACUCAUGGUCUGCUGCAAGUAGAUGAUGACAGUGGUUUAAGUGAAAUAGAUGAGGAUGAAAGGAGGUAAAAUUUAAACGUUCUUUAUUUCUCUGAGAAGGAACAUUUGCAGUGGUUACUUUUUCUGGAAAUGGAAUAGUGUAGACUGCCAAAGCUAGAGGAUACUCAACUAUAUCAACGCUGAAAGACCGAUUAUUCUGAGGGCUGGUGACUUUGACAAGGAGCAGUUUCAAUAAAUAAUUGCUGUGGAACCCUGACUAUCGUGGAUAAGCAUAGACACCCCUUGAGGGAAUGUUUCCUGGGAAAGACAGUAGAGAAAUGGGUGAUAACUGAAGAAGAAUAUGGAAUUCAGGGACUUUUCUUUCUUUUUUCUUUAAAAAUAGAAGCUUUGAGAGUGUGUUUGUAUGAUGCUGGUAAUGAUCAUGAAAGAAGAGCAUGUUUAUGAGAUUUAGUUUUGUUUGCAUGUCUCAGUGCUUGAAAGCUUGACUCAUUAUCUUUUAUAGGCUUUUAGCAACUAAUUGUCCUUAAAAUGUUUAUUCAUGUAGAGUUUUAUGGUAAGAGUUUGUUCUUUCAGCAUUGCUUCAGAAAUGUAUCAUUAGUCUAACUGAGCAUGUAAAUGUGAACUAAAAUUCAAACUGUUAUAUAUAAAUUUUUUUAAAUUGUGAAAUUAUAAACAUGCGAACACUUAGGCCAUACUGAACAGAAUUUCAACAUCCCUUGAUGAAUAGGUAUGAUUUGCUAAGGUACUCUAAAAUGUCAGGUGUAUCAACUUUAGAGUUGUUUAGUUUCUGGGGAGAAGGGGAGGGUUUUGUUCAAGUACUUUAGAAAAGCUAAUUGUUGACAGUCUAUCACAGAUUAUUACUUCUUGAUUAUAGAGUUUAAAAAACAUUUAAUCAAGUUGACCCACAGUGGAUUCUAAAGUUCUAAAGUAUCAAAACACCAUGUUUCCCUGGACCAGCAUUGACAUCAGGAUGUAUUGUGUGCUCAGUUAGUAUUUAUUUGUUAAAUGUGCAAAUUAAUGGGUGAAUACAUGAAGGAAUGCCUAUUGAUGAAUUUCAUUAAAAAUGAUUUUUAGUUUUUUUGAAAGUAGGUUUCCAAACUUGCCUCUGUAUACAAUUUUUUUAUUAGAAAAAAAUUGCAAGAUUCUGAAAUUAUUAUUUAUAGUUGUAGUUAGAAAUGGAAUGACAGUGUGGAUUAAUCUGCUGUCAUAUCUCUUUAAAACACUUGAAAAUAAAGGUUACCUUUACAGCAUCUCAUGAAACAUGUUUUUGAGGUAGAAUUCUUGGGUUUGAGUGCUGGGUCUGCUACUGGCCAGCUGUAUCGGCUGAGGAGAGUCAUGGGGCCUUUCUGUGCCUAUUUUCUUUCUUUAUAAAAUACCUAAUAUGUUACCAACCUCACAGUAUUACCAACCUCACAUUGUUAAAAGGAUUGUAUGAGCUUGACACAUGGACAGUGCUUAGAAUGAUGCAUAGUACCUGCAUAGUAAGUCCAGAAAAAGCUAACAUAUCAUCAUUAAAAAAGGGAUUUCUCUUAUAUAAGAAUGUGAGUAAUAUUUUCCAAAUAGGUUUUAGGGCCUGUACACACUGUUUUUAUUGAAAAGGACAACAAUGAGAAGAACCUGAUGUAUAUCUUUUUAUCACAUAAUGCAGGUAACAUGUUUUUUUCUUUUGGUUUUACUCUCAGAAAGCUGGACCUAAAUUUAAUUAUUUGUGGUGUGCUAAAUUUUUUUAUCCCUUAAUGUCAAUGUUUCUGUUUAUAAUUUAAUGUCCGUUGUAGAAAAUUACUGUAUUUUGCAUUAACUGUAAAAAAAAUUACCUGUGCACUUGAUGAAUAGCAGAAGUAAUACAAAUGCAGAUAUUUUAUAUGAUAAAACAAUAGUAUUAGAUAUGCUUUAUAUUUUACAUCUUUGCUAUUUUUCUAAUAGGAAUUGUUUCUUUUUUCAGGGCUGAAAAUAAAACAUCUACUGAAAAGAGCCAGGUAUUGUAAAAAAAGUAAAUGAUCUAAAAUAUUAUUUAAAAAAACAUUUAAAAGUAAGGUGGAAAAAAAGAAUGUUUUGUUAUAAAGCUGUUUGCUUAGAAAAAGUAAUUUAAAAACAGCCAUUGAUAACUGUACCUUCUAAGAACAAUCUGUUUCUUUAAGAAGUAACUGUGUUUUUGCUCAUACAAAAAAACAGUGGAGAAAUACCACUUCUGUACAUUUAGCACAUGUUAUAAAUCUUUCUAGGACAUUGUGAAACAGUAUUAUUUAUCUCAUAGGUCAAAAACCAAAUACAUCCUGGGGCUGACUUUGCUGACUCAGUGCGACCAUCUGAAACAGACUCAGAAUGCAAGUUGUCUGACUCUACUUAUGAGAAUUUUUUGUUGUGGAUUGAACAACUUAGAAUGAGGUGUAAAGGUAGGACCAUUGCAUAAAUGCAAGGCCUUUUAAUGUGUCCUGCAGUAAUGUGU